rnacentral:misc_RNA from 1 species
CUUUUACCCUGAAGCAGGGGUGGGGAUUUCCCAGGAAAGUUUAUUUCAAUGGUGAUGAAUGCAAGAUGCCACCACCAGAUGCAUACCCAUAUCUGCCAAAUUCUGCCUAUGCAAAUCCAGUUGCAUUUUCAACAAUGGCAGCUUCUUUGCUUUUGAUGUUACUUUCAAUAUGGUGAUCUAUCUUCUAUGGGGGAAAUUUUAUUCUUCAGAUCUCUUUGUAACAGAUAAUGCAGAUGCAGUUUAGGAAGCCAG